rnacentral:rRNA from 1 species
UACGUAGGGGGCAAGCGUUGUCCGGAUUUAUUGGGCGUAAAGAGCGUGUAGGCGGCCUGACAGGUCUGCUGUGAAAACUCGAGGCUCAACCUCGAGACGCCGGUUGAAACCAUCUGGCUAGAGUCCGGAAGAGGAGAGUGGAAUUCCUGGUGUAGCGGUGAAAUGCGCAGAUAUCAGGAAGAACACCCGUGGCUAAGGCGGCUCUCUAGUACGGUACUGACGCUGAGACGCGAAAGCGUGGGGAGCGAACAGG